rnacentral:rRNA from 1 species
GAUGAACGCUGGCGGCGUGCCUAAUACAUGCAAGUCGAGCGAACAGACGAGGAGCUUGCUCCUCUGACGUUAGCGGCGGACGGGUGAGUAACACGUGGAUAACCUACCUAUAAGACUUGGAUAACUUCGGGAAACCGGAGCUAAUACCGGAUAAUAUAUUGAACCGCAUGGUUCAAUAGUGAAAGACGGUUUUGCUGUCACUUAUAGAUGGAUCCGCGCCGCAUUAGCUAGUUGGUAAGGUAACGGCUUACCAAGGCAACGAUGCGUAGCCGACCUGAGAGGGUGAUCGGCCACACUGGAACUGAGACACGGUCCAGAAUCCUACGGGAGGCAGCAGUAGGGAAUCUUCCGCAAUGGGCGAAAGCCUGACGGAGCAACGCCGCGUGAGUGAUGAAGGUCUUCGGAUCGUAAAACUCUGUUAUUAGGGAAGAACAAAUGUGUAAGUAACUAGGCACGUCUUGACGGUACCUAAUCAGAAAGCCACGGCUAACUACGUG